rnacentral:ncRNA from 1 species
AUUUGUUUAACUGUGGCAAUAGAAAGUUAUCAUGAGUUAGCUGCAUAAAAAGUGUUUAUAGUUGUUAGGAAAUGUGAUUACUUUUUUGUGAUUAGCAGUUAGUUUUUUAUUAGAAUAUGUGUUUUUUAAGAAUAUUUUGAUUUUAAGGGGGUAGGACACAGUGCCAGCACCCGCGGUUAUUCUGUUUUCUUAGCUUUCAUGUAGAUUGUGGUUUGUUUGUUUAGAUUUAAAAUUAGGUGAAAAUUUUUUAUUUUGAUAUUAGGCAUUCAUAGUUUAGUAAAUAUUUUUAGUGACAGGGAUUAGAUACCCCAUUAAUUUAUUAUUAUAUUAUGUCUUAGUUUUGUAACUAAAAUGGUUUGGCAGCAAGUGAUUCUAGCUAGGGGAAGGUGCGUUGUAAAGGAUGGUCCGCCUAUUAUUUUACUUAUUUUAUGUUGGUGUAUAUCUAGUUUAAUAUUAUUGUUUAAUGAUUUAAAUUGUGUAUAUGAAGUUAUUUAAGCUAAGUCUAUGUGCUGCUUGAAUAAGAUUUCGUGCGUUACAUUUAUAUGGUUACUAUAAGUGAUAUUUUGUAAAAUAGUUAGGACUUAGUAGUAAUGUGAAAUUAGUUUGUUCGUGUGAAGUUAGUUUAGCUUGGGUACACACCGCCCGUCAUCCUCGAUAAUUAUUGAGGCAAGUCGUAACAAGGUAACUUUAAAGGAAUUUGGAGUUAAUUACUAUGUUUAGUAUUA